AGAAUCAACGCUGGCGGCGUGCCUAACACAUGCAAGUCGAACGAGAAAGUGGAGCAAUCCAUGAGUACAGUGGCGCACGGGUGAGUAACACGUGACUAACCUACCCUUGAGUGGGGAAUAACCUGGAGAAAUCUAGGCUAAUACCGCAUAAUACCUUCGGGUCAAAGGAGCAAUUCGCUUAAGGAGGGGGUCGCGGCCGAUUAGUUAGUUGGCGGGGUAAUGGCCCACCAAGACUGUGAUCGGUA
rnacentral:rRNA from 1 species